CCUACGGGUGGCAGCAGUGAGGAAUAUUGGUCAAUGGACGAGAGUCUGAACCAGCCAAGCAGCGUGAAGGAUGACUGCCCUAUGUGUUGUAAACUUCUUUUAUAUGGGAAUAAACUGUUCCACGUGUGGGAUUUUGUAUGUACCAUAUGAAUAAGGAUCGGCUAACUCCGUGCCAGCAGCCGCGGUAAUACGGAGGAUCCGAGCGUUAUCCGGAUUUAUUGGGUUUAAAGGGAGCGUAGGUGGAUUGUUAAGUCAGUUGUGAAAGUUUGCGGCUCAAACGUAAAAUUGCAGUUGAAACUGGCAGUCUUGAGUACAGUAGAGGUGGGCGGAAUUCGUGGUGUAGCGGUGAAAUGCUUAGAUAUCACGAAGAACUCCGAUUGCGAAGGCAGUUCACUGGACUGCAACUGACACUGAGGCUCGAAAGUGUGGGUAUCAAACAGGAUUAGAUACCCGAGUAGUC
rnacentral:rRNA from 1 species